GGCAAGAGAAUGGGUGCGAACAUGCCAAAGCAGUAUCUACCACUCUUGGGCCAACCUAUUGCAUUGUAUAGUUUCUAUACUUUCUCACACAUGCCCGAAG